rnacentral:siRNA from 1 species
AGAUUAGUGUUUGCUCUCAUUUU